UUUUGGCAUAAGAAGGUACCUCUAAAUAAGAACCUUUUCGGUGAUUAUGAAGUGAUAUCAAUUAGUUAUCCAGGGAUUCCUUCUUCACCGCCAUACCCAGAUUACAUGGGGAGUGGUCCUAGUGGAAGUGCUGGAGAUCUUCCCAUCACUGCAAAUUUUCUGAGCAAGAGCCAGAAGAUGAAUCUUAGAACUAUUGCAAUAAUUGCUUUAUCAGCAUUUGUGGUCUUACUAGUUAUCAUUGGGGCUGUCUUCAUUUUUAUAAGAUGGAGAAAGUUUGGAAGACCAUCA
rnacentral:misc_RNA from 1 species